GACAUGUAUAAGAGUAGUACAUAGAGUAAAUUGUAUAAAUUAGCUAUAUUGUACAUAAUAUUUUGUUUGAAUACAGCAUACACCAAUUGAUAUUGGGUUCAAAUUUUCUCUGUUUCUACAUGGUAUCAGAGCAGGUUGAACAACCUGAUAUUUGAAACCCUUAUUCAUCUUUCAACUUUUCUCUCUUCCUUACAAUGGGAGACACAACAGAAGUUAUAGUUGUAGAAACAACCGGUUCAACCAAGAAAGGUGUCAUUGAUUCAACACACCCUUUCUUUCUUCAUCCUUCAGACUACCCAAGCAUGAACCUUGUUUCCUCGGAUUUUGAUGGAAAAAUCUAUAGAGCUUGGCGUAGAGAAGCAUUCAUAGCUCUUUAUGUCAAGAAUAAACUAGGUUUCAUAGAUGGAAUUCAUUCCAUUCCAUAUGCAAAUUCUGGUCUUCAAAGUGCUUGGGCUAGAGAAAAUGACAUGAUGUUGUCUUGGCUCCUUAAUUCUCUGUCAAAAGAAAUUGAACAAAGUGUUCUUUACUCACACAGUGCAAAAGAUAAGUGGAAUGAUUUAGAAGACAGAUUUGGUCAGACAAAUGGGGCUAAACAUUUUCAACUAAAGAAAGAAAUAAGUGGUGUGGUUCAAGGUAACUCUAGUGUUUCGAGUUAUUUCACAAAAAUAAAAAGUUUGUAGAAUGGACUUGAUACCUUGAUCAAUUUUUUUACUUGUUCAUGUGAAUGUGUACUAAAGGAAAAAAUCUGAAAACGCACCAAGACAAAAGACUGCUGUAAUUUUUAAUGGGCCUGAAUGGCACCUACAUAGGUUUGAGAAGCAACAUACUGUUGACUUCCCCUUUGUCUUCUCUUGUCCAAGCUUACGCUAUGCUUAUCGAGUAUGAAAGCAAAGAGAAAUACAUGCUUCUCCUGUUAAUCCCAGAGAAUCAGCCUCUUUUAUUGUUGCACCACAUGAGACAGUUGGUAAGAGAAACAAUGUGAGGGAUUUUAAAGGAAGAAAACAUGGGUAUGAGGGAAACAAAAACAACUAUACUUGUUCAUACUGCAAGAGCCAAGUCAUGUUGUCGAACAGUGAUACAGGCUUGUUGGAUUUCCCUCAGAUUUCUAAUUCACAAAUCAAAGAAAAUACCAAGGGUCAGUUCAAGGUAACAAUGCUUUCAGUACUGAAGAAAAUACAGUACAGGCUGCAGGAAUCAAGUCACUUACUCAAGAAAAUAUCAUCCAUAUCCUACAACUCCUUCUGUAAGUGCGGAUGGAAAAACAAUGAACCAACAGCUUGAAAACAAUGCACGUGUUAGUAUAUCUUUCUCACAUAAUUACACUAAUUGCUUUGCACAUAACAACAAUAAGACAUGGAUAUUAGAUAGUGGUGCAUCUGAACAUAUGACUUUUGACGAAACUGCUCUCUAUAAUAUAGCUCCUUUACCUAAACCUUGGAAUGUAUAUUUACCCAAUUCUCGUAAGAUCGGAUCACACAUUCGGGUUCAGUUUCACUUUUUCCAAACCUGAUUCUUCACAAUGUGUUAUAUUUCCCUGCUUUUAGAUUCAAUUUGUUUUCAGUUCAUAAAUUGUGCAAACAGAACAACUAUCUCAUAUUAUUCACUUCUCUUUUCUGUUUUUGCAGGCCCCUUCAAUGAGGAGACCUCUGGUGAUUGGUAGGGAGAAUUAUGGUCUUUAUGUUCUGGAAUCAAAGCAUGUGAAACUCAUUUCCAAGAAGUCAUCUUCAUCUAGUAGUUUGUCUGUUAGGAAAAAAUCUACGUAAUAGAAAGUUCCUUCAAUUUUAGUUUCCUUCUCUAGUAAUUCUGAUGUAAAGACCAAGUUGUGGCACUAUACUUUAGGAUAUAUGCAUUUAUGUAAUAUGAAGAAUAUUUCAUUUAUUCCUAAUUCCUCAUGUGAUAAUUUUUAUGUGCCUUGUGUGAUAUGUCAUAUGGCUAGACAGUCGAAAUUACCCUUUCCCACUAGUUCAACUACUUCUACAGCUAUAUUUGAUUUAAUUCACAUAGAUACAUGGGGUCCUUACAAUACAACCACUUACGAUGGAUAUAAGUAUUUCCUAACCAUAGUUGAUGACUACAGUAGGGUACUUGGACAUAUCUUCUUAGCACAAACUCAAAUGCAUUUCCAGUAUUGCAAUCUUUUUUACCUAUGAUAGAGAGACAGUUUCACAACAAAGUCAAAAUCAUAAGUUUAGAUAAUUCUUUUGAGCUUAGAACAUGGAUUGCACAUGCAGAAUUAUUUUUAAAAUAAGGAAUUUUGCAUCAGAAAACUUGUGUUGGGACUUCUCAAUAAAAUAGAAUUGUGGAGCACAAACAUAAGCAUCUUCUAGAGACUUCUAGGGUUUUGCUCUAUCAAUCACAUCUACCUAUUCACUUUUGGGGAGAUUGUGUAUUGACUGAACACAUUUAUGUAGCAGGUUCCCUUCAAAGGUCUUAAGGCUUAAGACACCUUAUGAGAUCUUAUUUAAAACUUAGUCUAACUACUCCAAACUUAAAUAUUUUGGAUGUUUGUGUAUGUUUUGUCUCUACUCUAUCAUCUCUCAGGGAAAAAUUUAAUCUAAGGGCCUUACCUUGUGUUUUCUUAGGAUAUCCACAUGGUAAGAAAGGUUAUAAAGUCCUUAAUCUUGACACAAGGAAGACUUUUUUUCUAGGGAUGUGAAAUUUCAUGAGAGCAUCUAUCCCUUUGCUUCAAUGAACAUGUCAAAGCCUCAUAAAUCAAUUUUUCCUACUUCAAAAACACCUGAAGUGAAUCUUGAAGUUCUUGAUUUGUAGACUACCAAUUCAGUUAAAUAUUCUAAUCAUCCCAAUAAUUUUCCAAAUCAAGAUGUUACAGAAUUUCCUACACCACUUUUCACUCCACACCCUGCAAAUAGAAAUCCUAGGAACUCAGCAGUUGCACUCAAAAAAUCCAUUCGGAUUCAAAAAACUCCCUCUUACCUAAGUGACUACAUAAAUGUAGUGCAAUGAACUAAUGUUUGCACAUCGUGUUUUCUUUCUCCUAUAACACAUGUUUCUUACUCUUUUUCUGCCCUCUCAACUUCAAAUAAGUCAUUUUUAAAUUCACUUUCAAAUGUUCAAGAACCACUAACCUUCAGCCAGGCAGCUCAUCACCCAGGAUGGCAAGAAGUAAUGCAUGAGGAGAUCGAGGCACUGAUCCAGAAUGACACUUGGGAAGUUGUUGAACUUCCUGAUGAUAAAAGGCCCUGUCAUGCAAAUGGGUAUACAAAGAUAAACAUCAUUUAGAUGGAAGUAUUGAACGACUGAAAGAAAGAUUAGUAAUCAGAGGUGAUGCGCAACGUGAGGGUAUAGAUUUUAAUGAAACAUUUUCUCCCGUGGUUAAAAUAACCACAAUCAGAUGUCUUCUAGCUACUGCAGUCAAAAAGGGUUGGGGCUUUAUCAAUUGGAUGUUAACAACGCUUUCUUACAUGGAGAUUUAAACGAAGAGGUAUACAUGAAAUUUCUAGCAAGUAUGAACUCUCCAACACCCAGACAUGUGUGCAAGUUAAAGAAGUCACUUUAUGGACUUCGUCAAGCAUCAAAACAAUGGUAUGAAAAGCUUAUAGGUGAUCUUAGUUUCAAAGGCUAUUCACACUCCCUAAAUGGCUACUCUUUGUUCUUUAAGAAGAAAGGAACUUCAACUUCGGUUAUAGCAGUUUAUGUUGACGACAUCGUGCUAACUGGUAAUGACAUGGAUUAUUUGACUGCCUUGAAAUAAUUUCUUGAUCAAAAUUCAAGAUUAAGGACCUCGGAAACUUACAUUAUUUCUUGGGGAUGGAAGUUCUCCGAGAAUCAACUGGUUUGAUUGUAUCUCAGUGCAAAUUCACAUUGGAUUUGCUAAAAGAGUUUGACUGCAUGGAUAAGCAGCUAGCUUCUUCACCUUUGGGUCCGACACAAAAACUUCUUGCACACACUGGUGAGUUCAUUCAAGAUCCAACCUUAUAUCGUCACUUGGUUGGGGAGUUGAAUUAUUUUACUCAUACAAGACCGGACCUUUCCUUUAUGAUCCAACAUCUCAGUCAAUAUAUGCAGGAUCCGCGAUAACCACAUCUCGAAGCUACUCUCCGAGUACUUCGUUAUCUUUUUAAAGACCCAGGACUUGGGCUUUUCAUGACUCCAUCACCAUAUUUUAAACUCCAAGCUUUUUGUGAUUCGGAUUGGGGUUCAUGUCCAGAUGCUCGAAGAUCAAUGAGUGGUUUCUACAUCUCAUUAGGAUCUUUGCCAAUUUCCUGGAAAUUCAAGAAACAAGCCUUAAUUUCUCUCAGUUCCGCCGAAGCGGAGUAUCGAUCGAUGCGGAGAGUUGUGGCGGAGCUUACCUGGUUAGUCCGCCUCUUCAAUGAUCUUUCAGCACCAAUCACACUUCCGUUUCCACUUCACUCUGAGAGUCAGGCGGCUAUUCAUAUAGCUAAAUUCCCGUCUUUCGUGAAAGGACGAAACAUGCCAAAGUUGAUUGUCAUUUUGUGCGACAACAGUUCAUCUCUGGUCUUACUUCCCACUCCUUCGUUAGAACUGACUCUCAUCUAGCUGAUUUGUUCACGAAAUCACUCGUUGGACCUAAGCAUCACCCCUUACUGGGCAAGUUGGGUGUUUU
rnacentral:lncRNA from 1 species